ensembl:lncRNA
CAGCUCACCGGGGGAACACAGCUGCAGGCGGGCUGCAGCCUCAGCCCUGAGCUCUGGGGUUGGGGACGAGUUGGGGAGCAGCACAGAACUGGAAGGACGGCCAUUGGGUAUGAGGUGCUUCACGAGGUGUGGGACACAUUGCCAGCCAGACGGGAGGCUCUCAGCUUCCAAACCUGUAUGACCUGCCCACCGUCCAGCUCCGUCUAUGGACUGCUCAUUGCUCCUGGACACAAGGCAGCGUUAUCGCAGGGUUACUCACCCAGCUAUUUGUUUCUGCCUGGAGUCCCACGACAACCUUUGCUCGCUGGAGGUGCCACAACGAUCCCAACAACAAAUGGGACAGAGGGGAACCAGGACAUGUCGAUAAACUGGCUUUUAAAUUAACAGAUGUGGCAAAGCCACUGAUGGUAACUUUGUGGUUACGGAUAUUAGGAACUCUUGGCUCUCAAAGUUUCUGGAAGAAGACAAGAAGUUAACAGUUCAGCUCAAUAUAUAAACAGAGAUAUAUGGAAUCCAAGACAGAAAUGAGGUGCUUACUCACUUUUAAAUCUUUAGUCCAGGAAAUAGGGGAAUGACAGCAUCUACUUAUUGACCUGAAGUGAAAGCCCAGAAGAAGAGACCAGACAGAGCUUGCUUCAGCUAAAAUUAAUGUUAAAUGCUCACCGUUUGUUGUGGGCAUUUUGUCAUACAGACGUCGGGCAAACUUCACAAACCUCACUUCAUCCUGCCAUGCCUUAAGGACCUUGUUUUGCCACUGGAUGCCAAGAGGCAUUGUUGGGGGUGCUCAGCAGCCUCUGCUGCUGCAGCUGCAGCGAGCGGCUCACUGCUCUGCUUGAGAUGCCUUCUGCAGAGGUGCCAGGCCACAGCCACCUGCACUGGUAAAGCUGAGUGCAAACCAGUGCACUGGAGAGAGGACGAGCUGUGGGAGAGGAGCAGCAGGAUGCUCAUGAGCAGCUCUGACACACCGGUGUUUUGCAACAAGAAAUGAACGCUGCGUGUAUAGGCCACUUACAGUAAUGGGAAUGGGAGUUCUGAGAGGAUAUCUUGAGUUCAAUCAAUUAGUUUCCCUCCCAAGGCACAAAUAGAUGCAAAUUUUACUCAUUUACAUUUCUCCUGCUGACAUAUUUCCUGGUGUUAAUCCAAGUUCUUUCGCUUAUGUGCCCAUGUUUCUUCUUUUAAUGCCGCAGUCCUGUAGUUACUGUCUCUCUUCCUCUCUUCCCCCGUAUUUUCUGCACUCCCAGAUGGCCUGGUUUGCUUUUUCACCUCUCCACUUUUCCCACCCCCUGUUGCAGACAGUAAAAACAACAGAAUAAAAAAUUAAAGGGGUGCACAGCCCAGCACUCGGGGAAGGCAAAUCUCUGUCCCUUGAGGCUGACAGAAGCUGAACACACUGGCUGGGUGGGAUAGAUACACAGUGUGUGCCCAUGGCCUUUCGAAACAUAUUCUUUAAGUGCAUUUUGGGCAACAAACGUAAGCUGUGCUUUUUAAGCCUGAAUCUGUCCGCAGGAUAACGUUAUGUGGAUGAACAGGGCACAUGAAUGGCAGGAGAUGGUUUGACCUUAGAGGUGGUUUCCUCUGCCAGCUCUGAGACUGUGUGAUCUCAGAAAACUGUCACUGUGUCACCCGCUCUCUCAAGAUGAAAUAAAUGGCCUUACCCUUGCUGUCACUGAAGUCACGUGCAACUUCUGAUUUCCUGAAAGGAGCAAACCACAAGUUUUAUGAGUUAUUCUAAGGAUUCUGAAAUGCAAUAGGAAGAGAGGAAGCCUGUCUUCCACUUCGGCUCUACUUCCAACUCAGAUUCCUCCUUUAGAUCACGCUAAGGAGAGGAUGCACAGUGCAGCAAAGAUAAGUCGGUGUGCUGCACAGGACUGCCACCUGAGCCGGAAACGGUACAAAAGUGGUGAAACUGAAACCGUGACUGUAAACAUGUCCUGCUCCAAACUGCACAAGAGGAAAGCAGAGAAUGUCUGUCUGCCUGCAGAGCCAAGGGAACAAGCUUGUAGGCUGACUGCUUCUUCCCAGCUUCUCCCUUUACCUUUUGGUUCUGCUUAGGCAUCUCUUGUCUCCAUGAGUCCCCUCUCCUCGUGCAGCAGCACACAGAUCCCCAUCACAGAGCACGCAGUUGCCGAGUGUGACCUUACUCCUGUUCGUGUACCUCUCCAAAACGCACAGGAAGAAGAAAACUGCUAUUAAUAAUCCUCUAGUCUGACCUUUACAUUUUCUUGGUAUAUUACAUCUCAGGGGUGUGCUCAUCACAAGGAUGAACUCGCCGUCACAGAGGAAAAGACAUUACAGCGGUGGAGACAGAAAGAACAGACCCACUGACCUCCCUGAGCACAGCAUGAAGGACUGGAGAGGAAAGGACCUGACCACGAGGUCCUGGGCCUGGCCUAGGUGAGACAGAAAUAUACUCAUUGCAGUACCUGGCAUCCUUCUUAAUGGACACAGGCGCACAGUGUCUUCUGACGGAGUAGGUGCCAAUCUCUCUAGGGCUGUGAAGCAUUUGUUCGUGACCCUGCCUGAG